rnacentral:rRNA from 1 species
GGGCCCGCACAAGCAGUGGAGCAUGUGGUUUAAUUCGAUGCAACGCGAAAACCUUACCUACUCUUGACAUACUUGGGAGCUCUUGUAAUGAGAGUGUGCCUUUUGGAACCAAGAUACAGGUGCUGCAUGGCUGUCGUCAGCUCGUGUCGUGAGAUGUUCCGUUAAGUCGGAUAACGAGCGCAACCCUUACCCUUAUUUGCCAGCGAUUCGGUCGGGAACUAUAAGGGGACUGCCGGUGAUAAACCGGAGGAAGGUGAGGACGACGUCAAGUCAUCAUGGCCCUUACGAGUAGGGCUACACACGUGCUACAAUGGGGAAUACAGACGGACGCUAAGCCGCGAGGUGGUGCUAAUCCUAGAAAGUUUCUCGUAGUCCGGAUUGGAGUCUGCAACUCGACUCCAUGAAGUCGGAAUC